rnacentral:rRNA from 1 species
CCUACGGGUGGCAGCAGUGGGGAAUAUUGGACAAUGGGGGCAACCCUGAUCCAGCCAUGCCGCGUGUGUGAAGAAGGCCCUCGGGUUGUAAAGCACUUUCAGUGAGGAAGAACGCCUGGUGGUUAAUACCCAUCAGGAAAGACAUCACUCACAGAAGAAGCACCGGCUAACUCCGUGCCAGCAGCCGCGGUAAUACGGAGGGUGCGAGCGUUAAUCGGAAUUACUGGGCGUAAAGCGCGCGUAGGUGGCUUGAUAAGCCGGUUGUGAAAGCCCCGGGCUCAACCUGGGAACGGCAUCCGGAACUGUCAAGCUAGAGUGCAGGAGAGGAAGGUAGAAUUCCCGGUGUAGCGGUGAAAUGCGUAGAGAUCGGGAGGAAUACCAGUGGCGAAGGCGGCCUUCUGGACUGACAUUGACACUGAGGUGCGAAAGCGUGGGUAGCAAACAGGAUUAGAUACCCCUGUAGUC